UGUUUGUUUCCAACGUUGUACGGUUGCCGCGUCACGUAAGCAUUGCCAAUUUAAACAUAGAAUACCGGCGUUACUGACUUCUUCGACAGAGACGAUUGUUGGUGCUGUUUUUGCUAGAACCGUUUGUUGGCCUUUUCAUAAUGCCAGUGAAACAGCCGGCUGCAAAGACAGAUUCUUCCUACAGUGACAGAGUUUGCACAGGAGGUUCUCGCCGAAAGCGGUUGAGUCAUCGGGUUGAAACUUGUUCUCUCUUGCGGCAACCUGACAAAUCUGUUGAAUGCGGAGCACGGAGCUACUUCAAACAGCAGACUCGUCACUAAACGACAACUCGCUAAAAAGCCGUGAUGCAGCCUUCAAGUGGAGGCCGUAAAGCAGAGUGUACGGAUGAUAAAGGACUAAAUUUAGCUAUGGCAACAGACAAGGCAAGUCGGGACAUCUGUCGCGAAAUUUGCUAGUACUUGUACAUACCAUCACAUUCUCCUGCCCUCUAUUCACCCCCCGUGAUGGAAGAACAACAUGUUGUUUCUGUGGGCGCACUUUAUGGAGGUAUGUGUCAAAAACUGUCAGCCCUCGUGCAACUUUUCUUCUGGAUUAUGGGCAUCUUGUUUGGACGCCUGUAAAUGGCGGUGUCUGAAAGCGCGUAUGCUUGCACGUCAGCGUCUGUGUGCAACGCUAGCAGGCCCGCGGAGCAAAUUCAGUCCUCAAUUUUCCACUUGUUGUAAAAUCUUCUUACUGGAUACUAUUUACCAUCCAACUUAAUUUAUGUAAUGUAUGACACUAUAUAAUCUCUUAUGUCAACGAAUUUCGAAAGUUACUCGGGACUAUAAAUAUACACAAAUAGUUUGCGCCUACAAGUUAUUGUGUCUACGAUUUUGGAGCUCAAUAGGUCAAGUCGUAUCAUACAUACGACGAGCGACAGGUGGCACUCCGUGGCCAUUAUGUAGGGUCUACACGCAUCGAUUCUUCCAAGCAUCUUGUUGGAAACGAAUACCGAGGAAUAACAGGUUCCUCAAGCUUACAGAAAACAACAUAGGAAAAAAACACCAACCUUUAGCCAGCAACGCUCCAUUUUCUAACUGUUCCACUAACGCUUGGCGUCUUCCUUUAUAUCUCUGCUUUAGAAGAUUAUACGAUCACCGUACAUUAUACAGGAUAGACAUUUCGUGCCGACCAUCUAACCUGGUUACUUCACGCUACCUGUAAGCCCUUUUUCACGAAAUAUUUCAAUGCAAUUUUUAUCAACGAUGAACGGAGGCAGAUCAUAAAACAGCACUGGAAGAAGCAGACGGAGUAGGACAAAGGUGGAUUCAAGGUUUUCAAGCCAAAAUGUAGAAGAGGUCUCAGACCACCGCAUCUAUAUGCGACGCCCCCGGAAAGUGGCAAAUCGACAACGGCUAUUCACGAGGAAAAACUUAGGCACUUAAUGGGUCAGCAUUUACGACAUUGCCUUGAGCGAAAACAGGCAAGAUAAUAAAGUACUCGGCAAGGUGACAUGAUUGAAUUAAGUUCAAUUCGAAUUCAUCACAAACACUAGGGAUCGGCACAGUCGCGUCGAUUCUAUAACAGAAAAUCUUCACGUACUAUUAGGACAGCAGCCUGUAGCUAGUGUUUAAAUGGCCAUUUAGCAUAGACGAGUGAUUGACUUUUCCCGUUUUCAUUCGCCCCUCUCUAAGGACAUGUACCUGCGUUUGAUAUAGGACAUUGUUCUACCGCGAACGAAAAGCAGACAAUCGUUUUGUUUCUUUAUUGUACAAUUGGACAGACAUUUGGACGUGGGUUUCUGGACAAAAAAAAUUAAACAGAUAAAUAAGCUAACAAAGCCUAGUAGGUUAGGCGCACGAUCAUCACGUUUGACGCCUAUAGGCUGCCCUUUUUAACGCGUCGUAGAAGAUAAGCUGUUCGCGCUAGAACAAUCAGUUGUGUAUUAUCGUUAAAGGCGCAGUCGUUAAAGCAAACGCCCAUAAACUAGGCCAAGAAAAAGUAAUGCAUACUUUAUCUCAACAAAGAUGUCAUAAAUGUUGCGUUUAUAACCUUGAUGAAGCGUUACAAACUAAGCGAACUUUAAAGAAAGAUAGUUCAUUACAUACGACGAGCGAAGCAGAAAAUUGCUAACGAUAUUGAAUUUUACGCGAACCUUUGGCAAGCAUACAUCAGGAACAUAUAAAUAAUGGUGGUCAUCAAAUUGACGACUUACGAGGUAAAACUCCUAGUGAUCCUAGUAAUAAAACCGU